rnacentral:rRNA from 1 species
GAUGAACGCUGGCGGCGUGCAUAACACAUGCAAGUCGAACGAUGAAACUUUAAUGAACCCUUCGGGGAGAAUUAAAGCGGGGUAGUGGCGAACGGGGGAGUAACGCGUGAGUAACCUGCCUUACACAAGGGGAUAGCCUUUGGAAACGAAGAAAAAUACCCUAUAAAACCAUAAAAGCACAUGCAAUUAUGGUCAAAGUGAUAGCGGUGUAAGAUGGACUUGCGUCUGAUUAGCUAGUUGGUGAGAUAAAAGCCCACCAAGGCAACGAUCAGUCGCCGGCUUGUGAGCGUGUACGGCCCCCUUGGGACUGGGCCCCGGCCCAGACUCCUCCGGGCGGCAGCAGUGGGGAAUUUUGCACACUGGGGGAAACCCUGAUGCCCCGACGCCGUGUGAUUUAGAAGGCCUUCGGGUUGUAAAAUUCUUUUGUAUAGGAAGAUAAUGACGGUACUAUACGAAUAAGCUCCGGCUAACUACGUG